CAUUAACCCCUUGAGCCCCUUUGGGGCUUGUAGGUCAGAUUUUGGUUGAAACCAAUCUGGAGCUCUGUUAAGGGGCUCGGUGACCAUUUUUCAUCCCAAAAUUGGACCUCCAUUAGGAGAACCAGAAACCACUCCUCAUCCCAAAAGAUGAAUUGUUUGGAAUUGAGAGCAAAACCUCAAAUUUGACUAUAACACCAUUCUGAAUCUACUAUCCCAUUCACCACCAACCCUCUAUUCCCAUGGACAUGGACAUUCCCAAAGUAAAAGAUCUAGAAUGUACAAACAGCCUCAUGGGUUCCAUUUGGGUUGAACCUAAACUGGACCAGUAACCACUUCCUGUCACUUAAGUCAUGGGUUAAAUUGCUUGAUCUUAAUAAUAUAACCUAUCUGACAACCUGGCUCUCAAAACCAUGGGAGCAUAAGCUAUCACACUAUUCUACAUCCUUGAUCUCACUAGACACCAACUCUUUUCUCCUAUCAAUGGACUUUCCCAUGGGCUUGAUCUGCUGAGUCGCGGCAUAUGCAUUGGAAUUCAACAACUGAAACAGACACUGAAGAAGUUUCACAGACGUUUGAGGAACAGAAAUGGAAUAACGAGUCCCUGAACAAAGGGGGGGGUCAAUAUUAAAAGUAAUAAUCAGUAUCUGGUGGCCUCCAGCUGCUUUAAGUACUACAGUGCAUCUCAUCCUCAUGGAUUGCACCAGAUUGGUCAGUUCCUGCUGUGAGAUGUUCCACCACUCUUCCACCAAGUCAUUUGCAAGUUCUCCAUCAUGUCUGGGGGGAACACAUGUUUACAUGUAAUUUUCCACUGCGAGGACAACCAGAUGUCCUUCCUGUCUCCCUGUAGCACUGCCUUAAGCGUCUUACAUUACAGACAUGUAUGUUCACGCAGGUGAGCAGGAACCCUAGGCAUCUUUCUUCUGGUGUUUUUCAGAGUCAGUAGAAAGGUCUCUUUGGUGUCCUAACUUACUGUAACUGUGACCGUAAUCACCUCCCACCUGUACACCGUUCGUGUCUUAAGGACUGUUCCACAGCUGUAUGUGCAAUAAUUGUUUAUGAUUCAUUGAAAAAGCAUGAAAAACAUCAUUUAAACCCUUUCCAAUAAAGAUCUGUAAAUCUUAUUCGAUUUUACACAAUUAUCUUUACAAUACAGUCUCCUGAAAAAGGGAGCAUAUAUGCUCAAAGAAACUUGAGUCACGGCAUCUACACACAACCUUAUUCAGGAACCAGGUCAUAUCUGCACUGAAACUAAACAGGAGUUGAAGUUUCAAAUGGGAGAUUUUGGUCUCGAUUUCAAAACAAAAAAAAAACUUUUAGGGAUGAGAAAUAACAGCAUUCUGUAUGCUCUGCCUCAUUGGACACCAACCCUUCUCCUGGAGAUGGACUUUCCCAUGAAUAUGAGCUUCAGCUCUAAUUAAAAUCACAGCCUCUUUACGAAACCAAACUGGACCAUUUUAAUUCGAACUUGUGACCAUUUUUAAUUCCUCAACUUUUAGGUUGAAUUGUGUACCACCUAUAUGACGUCCAUUACCAUGGAGGUAUCAUCUAUAAUACCAACCAUUUUGCAUUUUCUCCAACUAGACCUCUAUUACUCCAAAGUAGACCUCCAUUAUAAGACUUGGCGCCCACUUUAUGUCCCAAAACUCUUUAGGAUAACGCACAAUAAAGGCAUAAGUGUUGAUAACAGAGGCCCGUUAUGUAGAAGCAGCGAAUCUGACCAUCAUGUGUCCUGACCCAUGAUGAACCCUAUUAAGAAGAAUGCCAGGGCUAACACAGAAUCCUUUCAGGCCGUCUCUAUAAGACUUUUUUUCUCUCGGUCUUCCAGCGUAUCGUCCAACCUAAAAUAUCUAGAAGUUGUAAGGAUAGAUCAGUGAAAUCGUUCAAUGGCUUUGUCACUAUCCAGCCUGAAUAUAAAAACAAAACAUAGUAUCCAGUACCUCCCGCUGAGUGUGUGUGUGUGUGGGUGUGCGUGGCUCUUUGGUUGUCCAUGCGGUACUUGGCUCUGGUCUCUGAUGUUCUCCCACUAGGAUUCACUUCAACAGAGCGAGCAUGCAAAGCAAUAUUUCAAAGCCACGGCCUGCUUUCAGCUCUGCAUAUCAAUAACUUAAAUCCGCUAGCUGCUAGCCGCUGCAUUCUGAACAGGAUCGCUUAAUGAUGAAGAGAAUUAUGGUGCAUCUGAUACUGAAUCUAUUACUGAGACAGAAAUUCAACACACACACACACACACACACACACACACACAAACA
ensembl:lncRNA